rnacentral:rRNA from 1 species
UGACAGUACUCCUACGGGGAGGCAGCAGUGGGGGAAUAUUGCACAAUGGGCGCAAGCCUGAUGCAGCCAUGCCGCGUGUGUGAAGAAGGCCUUCGGGUUGUAAAGCACUUUCAGUCGUGAGGAAGGUGGUAGUGUUAAUAGCACUAUCAUUUGACGUUAGCGACAGAAGAAGCACCGGCUAACUCCGUGCCAGCAGCCGCGGUAAUACGGAGGGUGCGAGCGUUAAUCGGAAUUACUGGGCGUAAAGCGCAUGCAGGUGGUUUGUUAAGUCAGAUGUGAAAGACCCGGGGCUCAACCUCGGAAUAGCAUUUGAAACUGGCAGACUAGAGUACUGUAGAGGGGGGUAGGAAUUUCAGGUGUAGCGGUGAAAUGCGUAGAGAUCUGAAGGAAUACCGGUGGCGAAGGCGGCCCCCUGGACAGAUACUGACACUCAGAUGCGAAAGCGUGGGGAGCAAACAGGAUUAGAUACCCCUGGUAG